AUGUCCACAGCUGUCCUCACCCAGAAGGCUGAAGAAACCGGGUGGCCCCAUUUGAGACACCUGUGCAGAAAUAGAUUUUUACUUAAUAUGAAAUGCAAAGUACCAGAAAACCACUUAGGCAGUAUUUGGUCUGUUUGCAUUGCCGUGCAGCCUGAGCACACUGCCAGGGAAAAGGGGCACGAGGAAGCCGAGGACGAUUACCUGGGCCAGUCGGUUAAGAGCGAGGCGACCUCUGAUUGGAUACAGCCCCAACGGCCUUCUUCAGUAAUCAAUGUAUUGGUCUUUGAACUGCCCCAGGAUGCUUCAGCACCCCGUGUUUUCUUCAGUGGGGCAGACGCGGGAAACGGGUCAGGCAGCUGAAUAUUCAUAAAGCCAACUCUUCUUAAGAAGGAGGUAUGCCUUUCCAAAGGGUUCAGGUAGAGACCGUAAGGUAAUUAGUUGCCUAAUUUAUUAUGCAUGCUUUUUGGCAUCCAGGAGGUGAGUUGGAUCCUCAAGGUAGAGUCUUCCAGGUCGCUGCUGUUUUGACUGAAUGGAAGGAUGGUGGUGAUACAGACCGGGAGGGAGUUUCAUAACUAAAGUUGUGCUGGUUGCAGCCGCACACCUGCAUUUUCACAAGAGUUCUGGACUGGAAAUACAUUUUAAAAAGUUUUUGGCCCCAUCAUUGUUUAAAAUCCAGGAAUAGAAAUUGUUUUGUAAGUUCAAUGUCAAGAUUUCUUACAUCCUUUUCUGAAGAAAUUUAUGAACAAUAAUAAUGUUACGUUUAUACCUGUUUAUAUGUCAUGCCUCCCACCAAUCCAUACCUAGCAUAAUUUCUUCAGAGGUUCCCUAUACAGAAAUAAAACAGACAGACAGAAAUAAUUUUGGGGACUGAAAGCCAGGCAGGGGAAGACAGAAUUUGGAUCUGUCUGUGUUGCAAAGUGUAUGUAAUACAAAAGGCUGCAUUAAAUUAAAAACACAUUUUUAAAAACGUCUUGUUACCACGAUGGGAAUGAAAUGCUGGAUUAAAUAGGUUUUGGUCUGUUGCAACAAAGCCCUUGUGUUCUUAAAUCACUUGGCCUGCAUUGUCCAGCACAGAAAUUUGGACCCAGAUUGUAAUCCAAGUGGUGAUGUGUCCAUUUUAGCAUGUAGUACCUACUUCGAUAUAUUUCUGAUUUGCUCCAAAAACAACAUCCUUCCAGCUGGCUUGGUCACAGGAAGUGGAAACCUGUUUAAUAGUCAUUUUAUUGCUUGUUUUCCAUAUCGGUUGCUUCUGAAAAGUACCUGUCAC
rnacentral:lncRNA from 1 species